rnacentral:rRNA from 1 species
UGCAUAUCAAUAAGCGGAGGAAAAGAAACCAACAGGGAUUGGCCUAGUAACGGCGAGUGAAGCGGCAACAGCUCAAAUUUGAAAUCUGGCUCUUUCAGAGUCCGAGUUGUAAUUUGCAGAGGGCGCUUUGGCUUUGGCAGCGGUCCAAGUUCCUUGGAACAGGACGUCACAGAGGGUGAGAAUCCCGUACGUGGUCGCUAGCUAUUGCCGUGUAAAGCCCCUUCGACGAGUCGAGUUGUUUGGGAAUGCAGCUCUAAAUGGGAGGUAAAUUUCUUCUAAAGCUAAAUAUUGGCCAGAGACCGAUAGCGCACAAGUAGAGUGAUCGAAAGAUGAAAAGCACUUUGGAAAGAGAGUCAAACAGCACGUGAAAUUGUUGAAAGGGAAGCGCUUGCAGCCAGACUUGCUUGCAGUUGCUCAUCCGGGCUUUUGCCCGGUGCACUCUUCUGUAGGCAGGCCAGCAUCAGUUUGGGCGGUGGGAUAAAGGUCUCUGACACGUUCCUUCCUUCGGGUUGGCCAUAUAGGGGAGACGACAUACCACCAGCCUGGACUGAGGUCCGCGCAUCUGCUAGGAUGCUGGCGUAAUGGCUGUAAGCGGCCCGUCUUGAACCACGGACCA